UGCCCCCUCCCUGCCACCCUUGCCUUCCUGCCACCGCCCCUCCCCCUCCUCCUCCUCCACCACCACCACCUCCACCUCUGCCGCCGCCACCGUCGUUGUCAGCGUGAAGAAAGCUCACAACAUGGCGAGUGAAAGACAGAAAGAGAGGGACGGACAUACACAGCGGUGGUGGCAGCGGCAGCUACCCACUACCACGCAUGCGCGCCGCCGACCCAUCAGCGAACCCCGGCACAAGGAGGUAGGAUGAGUCCAGAUCACAUAAAGCAAUUGUUCCACUUGCCUCUGCCUUGGUCGUAUCCCACUGAAAUACUAUGUCCAAUUCCAGGCACCACAGAUCGAAGAUGGAUAGUGACAAAUUGGAGCAUAUUCAGAGGAUGGCAACCAAGGAGGACCCUGGAAGCCAAGCCUAACAAGGAACAUAUUGGGCACUUCCAGAAAAGUAAACCAGCCCUGGGCAAACUGCUAGGUGGAUGCAGAUGGAGAAAGGAGAUAAGUCCAGCAGUCCCUUUUAGCUGACUGACUGAAGAUAUGCUCUUUAUCUUCCAUGCUUACAACUGAGAACCAUUGCUUAUAUGGUUCAACAGCAUUAUCCAGACUACUCACAGUUAAAUAUGGUAAGAGUCAUGAAGAAACCCAUGUUUUGCAGAACUGCAGAUCAACUUAAGGGGAAAAUAUCAACCAGCAGAACACAAAAAGCAGAAAGCCUGAGUAAGAGUGAAUGUUUUCUAUGGCCCCAGAAUUCUGACUGACUGCCAGGAGAAAUGAAAAAACAUGGUCAAGAGAAAGAAUAUCUUAGAGGAUGACAUGGCUGAUUGGCUGGAACACUGGAUAACUGCACACCCUAUUGUAAACUUGCAUUGCUGGUCCUUGGAAUGCAAAAAAUGAGUUUAAAUAUUAAUCUGCUGCAUAUUCCUAUAAGUAUAGCCCAGACAAAU